GACGGGACGGAGCCACUUACCACAUUAGCCUUCUUCUCCGCAUUGGUCUGCUUGACCCAGCGCAGCUGUGUUAGAGGAAGGACCGUGGAGAUGGCAUUGGAGAGCGACAGCUUGUUGUUAUUGCACGUGGCCCCCUGGAGCUUCAAACCUGGGAGCAGGAAGCCAAAACCCAUCGGCCAGGGAAACAACAGCUAGGCCAACCCCCCGGUCCCGGGGCUCUCAGGGCGGACCAAGUGCCCAGCUCUGACUAGCAUGUGAGGACCGCCAGCCACCUGUGAGAACGUGUGCUGGCCCAGUGGGGCCGGGAGCAGGGAAGGGGAACUUCAGGGAAGCCCAGCCAGAGGCGCUGAGUCUGCAUGUUCUCUGAUCCCAACGCACCUGUGACUCCAAAGCUGCAGGCGUCGAGGGUGGCACUCUGGGAGGUGGUGACGUUGACUUCCAGGCAGAGCUCCUCCAGGGACCAGCUGUUGGCCUGGGCCACGUACUGCCUGGUGGCGGUGAUGUACGCCUCAGGUACAAACAGGCCGCCCAGGCACACGUGGAUGUUCUGUGGGAGGAAGCAGCCCCAGGUGAGGAGUGAGCCCCACGCGUUCUCUCGGAUCCGACCUGGCCUGUGCUCAUCCCCCGAGCUGCCCUGGGUGCUGCUGCUCCCAAGCCCAGGAUAGCCACCAACCCUCCCCCAGACUUCUCAGAGCGCCUUCCCCACCUUUAGCUCCUUGGCACCGCCAGAGGCAGCCGCCAGGGAGAUAUUCUGCAGCUGUUUGAUCCUCUCGCUGAAGUCGGACACCCACUGGAUGACGGUCAUGCCGGCAGGCACUGUGUAGUGAGACCAGCUCCGGGGCAGGAUUCCUGCAAGCCAGGCGGGCCCGGCGCGUCAGUCCCCACCGUCCCCCACAGAUGGGCUGAGGCUGCUGGGGCUCACCUGCAUCUCCAGCUGUGCUCACACACGCAAGCCCUUCCCCCCUCCCCGGCUGCAUGUCCCGGAUGGACUGCCAUCACCUCUGCAUCUGUUCUUUGCUCAGUUCCGUGUAACUGACGGCUGCGUCUGGGGCGCCAAUGACUCCCAAGGAACACCAAAGCCACAAACUCCCAUCACACAAGUGGCUCAGUGUCACUAGCAAUUCCUGCUCUUGGAGCCGAUGGGAGACACCUGGGGGCUCCUUGCGCCUUUGGACUCGAGCCCCCUACCCCUCCACUUUUCUUCAGUCCUGGCUCCCCCCCUAAAAACUGUAGAAGUUGUGUAAAAAUUUUAGUAAACGUCAGUGACCAGCAUAUAAUAAAAACAAGUCCUUGGGCAUUUCUAAGCCUGCCCCCAGGUAAGGGCACCGAGCUGCUCUCAGAGGGAAUCUGUUUGGAAGGAAAUGCCUGGCCUGGGACCUGUCAACACUCUGAAGAAUUGCGGCCGCCGGCCCCCAGCAAUCCUGCUCUCAGUGCAGUGAGGGGGACUGCCGAGGGCGGGUGAGGCCGGGGCCGGGCCCCCGGGGCUGAGCCCCCAGGCACACGGGAGGACCAACACCUCAUUCAGUCCCAAUCAAAGUGCACCUUUCACCAGCUCGUUGAUAAGUGUACGCAGGUAGUUGGUCUGUUUCUUCUUCCCUUCACACACUUGAACGACGUCAGCAAGAUCCUGGCGGACGUCCUGAAGUAACUUUGCUCCCAUCUUCACCUCUCUCUCGAAGAAUCGGAACAAAGGAUCCUAAAAUUGUUCAAAGAGAAGGGAAGGCCAGGGUGAAGGGAAGAGCGGUUAGAAAGAGGUCCCUUCUGCAGAAGAAAGAAUCAGGCAAACAGAAGUAAUUCAAGCUCAGGAGCCCCAGGAUCCACAACCCGGUCCAGAUCACGCCCAGCUGCACCAGACUACUGUCUUGGACUUGAUCUCGUAAGAAGCCGGCCAGAACCCUGUGUAGCCCCUGCCUGACCCACAGCAGCUCUGGACACUUCUCUAAAGAGGAAGCAUGGCUGCCGCCACAUCCUUUUGGAGAGUUGUUUACCUAGCUCCUGGAAGGCAGACAACCUUCGAGAGCAUUUCUGGCCAGUUUAACAAGUGUCAAUCACUCUUGCCUGAGUCUGGGCUCUGAGACAACACUAAGUACAGCUUGACUGCCCAGUCGAACUUCUGCGCAUGGACCCCUAGGGUGGCCCUGCCCGCUCCCUGCCCGGCUACCUUGAUGUUCUCCACUGUCCGUUUGAGAUGGCUCAGCGUCGGGGGGAUCAGGUGCAGCCAGUUGGAAGCAGUGGUGUGCAGCGUCCUCAUCCAGGCGGGGCGCCCAUCAGACGUGGAGUCUGUCCUCGUCUUCUUCUCAGCCUCCGCGUAGGCCAGGUCGUCCUCAUCCUCCAGCAUCUGCAUCUUCAGCAUUUUACUGAUCAUGUCCACACCUGGGCCACGAUCCCACCAGCAGCAGAUGAACGGAGGGGAUGGGGAGGAGAGCAGAGGGAAAAAGGACUUGAAUGUAAAGGCCACAUAAUGAGCUUACCCACAGGCACCAAGGGGGUUCACCUUUCUGAAGCACAGAAAACGGUCUGGCCAGAAAAAUGAAGUGGCAAACACAGAAAAAUUGCUACCAGGUCAAGUCAUGACCGUUGGGCCUGGAGCAGCAGCCUGAGAGUGCAGAUGGGAGUGGGGCUGCCUCAAGACUCUCGUGUUCACGUGGAGCUGGAGCAGCCCAGAGGGCAUCAGGAAGGAGGGCUCGGGGCGCACCAGGCUCCAGGCAGGGGCCCUGUGCAUGUUAAUGUGUGACCACUUCCACUGGGACUGCGCUCAACCACAUGGCAGCCUCCCGUGUGCUCCAGACUCCGCCCACAACCACCUGCCCCCUCAAACACCUGUCCCCACUCUGUUUAACCCUUGGUGUGUCUAAUCUCACCCUGUCUUUGUCCCUUACCCACUACAGGAGUGCUGAAAGUCCAGUUCCAGAGCAGCGCUGCCACUUGGCGGCUGGCCUGGAGAGGUGACGGCUCAGCUCUCCCGCAGACGGGACCCCGUGGACUCAAGACCUCAGGCCCCACAUGGGGCACGUGAGCUCGGGCAACUGGUUAGCCCUGGCCCCAGGUGCCGCUCAUAUAACAGCCACUGCAGUAUCAGGGCACAUGCAUAGGGACCCAGCUGCUAUUAGAGGGCAGUGAGUGACAAACCUGCAAACACUCCCUUCUCAUGGGGGCCAGGUCAGGUCACAGCAGGUGACACCCUAGGUUGAUCAAUACUCUAAAUGGUCUCAGUACAUGCUCUUAUACAAGAGAAUGCUCCUACACUGAAGCCUGCCUCGCAUCUAGUCCUCAAACUCUCAACUGCUGACCAGCCCGACGUUCAUUCUGGUCACCUAUGGGGCCACUGCCACUUCACAGUGGGAGGCACGAUCCGGCAGCAUCCAAGGUCGUCCUCAGUCAGAAAACAAGUCCCAUAGGGAGGAGUCCUCAUUACAGAGCUGAAGAGGCAGCCUGCAAUGAAUGGUUUGCUUCUGUUUUAUCAGCUAGCUGCGAGAGUUUGGGCAAACUACCAAUCCUUUCUGGGCCUGCACCCGCAAAGGAGAAGCCUGGGUUAGACCAGCAAUUCUCACUCUUGCAUGUGUAUCAGCCACAGGGAGGGCCCCAGCACCCCUGGUUCUGACCCAGGAGGGCUGGGCGGGGCCUGAGAAUCUGCAUUUCUAAGAAGGUCCAGGUGAGGCUGACGUAGUCUGGAGAUUAGAUGAUUUCUUGAAUAGUCUUGAAGAAAAAAAUAUCGUGUGUGUAAAAGGAAAAUUCUAAAAAACUGUACUCCAAAAAAAAGACGUUUUAAAAACAUCACUUAAUACCCAACUGCUUUUCAACUCUUUAAAAAAUAAAAAAUGAAAUUAUUUCUGAAUGUAAGAGAAAAGCCUAAAUGCAACUUCCAGACCUCGUUUACCUAUCAAGCAUCUUGCCCAGAAUGGAGCCUAUAUUGAGAGAAGACCCUGCUGGAGCCAAUUGUUUCCUGUGCCUCCCCUCGGAGCGAGUCAGGAGCAGGUGGUAAUGGGAAUGGUGGGCUGGGGGUUUGAUGGAGGAGAAAGUUGAGGCCCAACUAAGCCACAAAGGGCAGAGGAAACUGGCCCCAGCAAACGCUGAGGCGAAGGGCGGGCUUGUGGAGGACCGGAGGGAUGGGGUACCCACCCUGGGUGGUGAGGAGGACUCUCUCGGCGUUGUUGGGCAGGCCCAGCCAGGAGGGCGUCUGGGUGUCGGGGAGCAGCUCCACCCACUGCACAAACUCCUCUCGCCUGGAAAACCAGCACAUGUGGAAAUGCUGUUACGUGCGAUGCCAGAAACUGCCUAGUGUGUUGACUGUCUUCGUCACAAGAGGCAGGCCCGUACCUGAUGCCGUCCGGCAUCUGAAUGUCUUUGUGCCCAUCAACCUUGCAAGCCAGCUUAAAUUCACUAUCGAAACUCUUUGUCGUGAACAGACGCUCCAGGAAAGUGUUGAGCAGACGCUGGUCAAACUCAUUGUCCACGCGCCCGCCAUAGAUGGACUGGGCCAUCAAGGUCUUCAGUGCUGACCACGGGAUCUUAUCUGGCGAGAUGUUCUGCCUCCCCUGGGGGUGCAUAUCGUAAGCGUUCUUGGAUGAUGGCGUGGAACCAGGCCAGCAGGAAGUAUAAGCGAGCACGCUCGUUGGGAGACUAGAGGAGGAAAAUUACCAAGGACAGAAUCAUCAGAAAGCAGCGCCUCUUUGUAGCUGAGAACACAGUGAUCCUCCGUCAGAACCAAAGCUUUAAAAAGAGCUUUCCACAUACCAACCCUGGAACACCCUGACCGUACUAAGACCAGCGCCUACUAUGCAGGAAAUUAAUAUAAAUACUGUUGCUAGGAGGAAAGUAUGCCAAAUGUCUAUUAAUAAAGUCGUGAUCCAAUGACACUGUUGAGAAAAACUAUUCAGGAGAAGAUGUUUUCUAAAAAUGUCAGAAAAGGUGGAUUAUGGCACAAAAUAAGAAUCACCCUGCUCCUCCCACAAGCUUGGUCUGUGCUUGGUGCCCUGAGGGCCCUGCUCAGCCUCGGGUGGCCCGAGCUCGGGAGGGGAGGGUUCCCAGAUGCCUACUCUGGGGUCCACGUCCCGGUUCUGGCCAGAGCUUCACCACGGGCUGUCUGCUCACCUGGGAGCCGAGCGUCACAGCCCUGCAAACAAACCCGGGGCACAGUACCUCUCGACCUGUUCACAGCGGGAGACUGGCCCUGUCGCUGAGAGUCCUGUCACCUGCACCAUCAGCCAUUCUGAUGCCGCCAGGAAGCAGGGAGACCUGCUCCUGCACCCAGCGAUGGGCCUGUCUCUCGGGCCUCUACCCAGACUGCCAUCUUUACCUUGCAUAUCCGCGAGACAGGGAUGCUGCUGAAUGUCCUCAGCAUGUUGGCCUUCACUCCCGGUGGCGGCUCAAACACGAAGAUGCGGCCCGCGCGGAGCAGGUUCACGGGCACCUGAGGAAGACAUGGCUCCCCUCACCACUGGUUCCACGUGCGCCUUAGCUCUACCACACAUGCCCUCUGAACAGAAAGAUGUCAAACCAGCAUUCAAAGCCAAUGCCUCACACCUUCGAACCACCCACCUUGGGGUUGAUCUCCAUGGUAAGAAAGAGUCUGAAGCAAGCGUGUGGCUGCAGGGAAUGCAGCUUCUUCUCCAGCUGCAUCAGCCACCCGGGAGCCAGGUGGACGUUCUUCAGCAUCACCCACCUGCACAGGCGGAGAGAAAACCACGCCGACGCCUCAUGUCUCCUGUCUCAAUUUUGGGGACCAAGGCAUUCUGAGACAAAACAAAACAGGCCUACCUGCCUGACUUCACGGCUGUGUUUAUUGCCUUAUCUGCUUGGUUGAAGCCUUCUGCCGAGCCUGGUGCCAGAAAGCUUAGUGUCAGCACGGCAGAGUUGGACUUCAACGCCCACCAUGAACUCUAUGGGGCUUCUGCCCGUGAAAGUGAUCGAGCACGCUUACCGAUCGCAAUCGAAGUGAUCUGCGUGUUCUGUUCAGCUGCAAGGUCUUCAACAUGCCCACUGGCAUCAUAACCGGGCACAGAGCACAUCAGGACAGGCGUGUUUGGCUUUACCUGCAGAAGAGGAAGUGGAGUGAACUUAGGAUCCCACCAGACUGUGUGCUUGUUGAGAGAGGAGAGCCCCGUGGGUGGGGCUUGUGAAGAUGGGCGGGUUUAAAGUCUCCAGCGGGGACUUGGCCUUGGGACACUGUGGCUAGGACGCGGGGCGGAGGAGACGUACUUGAGCCUGCAGGGGGCCAGAGCGGUACCUCUGUGUCCACAAUGUGAGUCAGGUCGAGCGGCUGCUCCAUGAUGGACAUGAAGGACUCCCCGAGGUUUGUCGAAACAAACAUGUGGGCCAUGGCCAGCAGGCGGUCAGGGCGGAAAGCCUGAAUCAAGAGCAGGCGGUGGAUGGCUUGCCCGAUAGGUGCUGCAAUGAGGCCGAGUGAAAGGGUGGGGGCUUGGUGAGAGCACAAACUUUGAGAUGUCCCCCUGCCGGAUGUUCUUGCUAUAGCCCACGCUCAGCAAACAGUGUCUAAGACUCGGCUCAAACGUAUGACACCUCAGAAAUCAGAAAUCACACCACCUCCUCUGGUCCUCUGCCCCCAGGAGAACUGCCACCCCCACCUGUGUCUCCAUGAACCCUCUGGACACACCUGUGACAACACCUACUGCUUAGGUCUCCACGGGUACUGUGGCAGUUACUGAUUUUAAAUGAUUCCACUGACACCUGUUCAUUGCAGGUACAACACCUGAAGAUUCUCAGAAACGUCUGAAGAAGAUCCUCGUAAGUGCAGCCCCACUGUGGACCGGGAGCUGGAGACCACCCUCUUCUCCCUCCUCUAGGGGUCUGGCUGGCCAGUGACUCAUGGAACACAGUGAAAACCAGCCAUUUUCCCCCUAAGGUUGGGCAAGGCCUUCCCAUCUAUUUCCCUUGGUCUUUAAGCAUGAGUUGGAAUAGGAAUUAGGAAUUCUUUGCUUUCCCACUUCUAAGCCAACUCCUGAAGUUUUAACACUGAAAUACUUAUCUCAGGAAUCUGUGACUUUUUAUUUUUGGGAAGCACCCCUUCAUUCAAACAGCAAAACCCAACUUUACAUCUGGGUUCAGAAUGAAAACAUCAGGAGCCUUGACGUGGCUUACUUGCAGGAAUGUCUUCACUCCAGAGGUAGGGCACCGUCUGCUCUGGGGAGCUGCUGUCCAACCAGAUGCCAAAUUGCUGUGGAGACAACAGGGCAAGCAUGACCACAGAGCAGGGCCCAUCCUCGUGGGCAGACAGGCUGAGACUGACUUAUCAGAUGUCCGAUGCGAGAGUGCACAAACACAACUUUGUGGGUUUCACAUAACACAUGAUCCCUUAUUGCCAACUUUCUGGCAGAAGGCAACCGCUGUUCUUUUCCCGUGGGAUUGUUCAGAAG
rnacentral:lncRNA from 1 species